rnacentral:rRNA from 1 species
GGAGUUUGGACCGUGUCUCAGUUCCAAUGUGGGGGACCUUCCUCUCAGAACCCCUACUGAUCGAAGGCUCGGUGGGCCGUUACCCCGCCGACUACCUAAUCAGACGCAUCCCCAUCCUAUAGCGGUAAACCUUUGGUAUUCUUCAGAUGUCCUCUAAAUACAACAUAGAGUAUUAAUCCGACUUUCGCCGGGCUAUCCUCUACUAUAGGGAAGGUUGGAUACGCGUUACUCACCCGUGCGCCGGUCGCCAUCAAAGUUUGCAAGCAAACUUCAUGCUGCCCCUCGACUUGCAUGUGUUAAGCCUGUAGCUAGCGUUCAUC